ACAGUUCUACUCCUCUCUCUUUCCCACCUUCUCUACAAAAUUAAAUGAUAAUAUGACAAAAUAAAUAGUAUAUAUUCACUGGCACCGCUCCUCCUCAAGAAUAAAUUAAAACCAGAAUAUAUUUUUUUAAUUAUUCCUUCGUUUUUCUUCCCCCUACAUUUUGUUCCUUGAGGAGGAGGUCCACGUUCUUUCUAGUCUUUUGCCGUGUUCUGAAGCUGAAACUUUCUCUGCAAUAACCUGUUUUGAAUUUUCAUCACUUUUCCUGUUAGGAUUUCAGUAAUAAAUCAGCUCUAAAAUUCUAGGGAGUAUAUAUACUUGUAUACAUACACGUUACGUGUAAGUUUCGUAUAUAUACUUUUCCCUUCUCCCCCAAUCUCCGCCGCACCGACUAAAUUCAGCUCUUCAUCAGCUGUAGCAGCAGCAACAGUGGCGUGCACGACGACGCCGUUUCGGUCACCGAUCUCGUCGUCCUCCGAGAAAUGGCCAAGCGCGGAUAUAAAUUGCAGGAGUUUGUGGCGCAUUCGGGGAAUGUAAAUUGUUUAAGGAUUGGGAAGAAGAACUUUCGGCAAUUUAUAACAGGUGGAGAUGAUCAAGUGGUCAAUCUUUGGUCAAUUGGCAAUCCUGCACCUUUAUCGUGUCUUUCUGGUCACUCAAGUCCAGUUGAAUCUGUAGCUUUUGAUUCUUCGGAGAUCUUGGUGGUUGCCGGAGCAUCAUCUGGUGUAAUUAAAUUGUGGGACCUUGAAGAAACAAAGAUGGUUCGCACUCUUUCUGGACACAGAUCCUAUUGCACUGCUGUGGAAUUCCAUCCAUUUGGUGAAUUUUUUGCAUCGGGUUCCAUGGACACUAAUCUAAAGAUAUGGGAUAUCAGAAAGAAAGGAUGCAUUCAUACAUAUAAGGGUCAUACUCGAGGAAUUAGCACUAUAAGGUUUACUCCUGAUGGCCGAUGGGUGGUUUCUGGUGGAUUUGAUAAUGUUGUAAAGAUAUGGGACCUGACAGCUGGAAAACUCUUGCAUGAUUUCAAGUUUCAUGAGGGACAUAUCCGAUCAAUAGACUUCCAUCCACUUGAAUUUCUUCUGGCUACAGGCUCAGCGGAUCGAACUGUUAAGUUUUGGGAUUUGGAAACUUUUGAAAUGAUUGGGUCUGCCAGGCGUGAGACUGCUGGAGUUCGAUCCAUAACGUUUCACCCUGAUGGAAGAACGCUAUUCUGUGGAUUGGAUGAUAGUUUGAAGGUGUAUUCAUGGGAGCCAGUAAUUUGUCAUGACUCUGUUGAUAUGGGAUGGUCAACACUAGGUGAUAUGUGCGUCCAUGAUGGUAAACUCUUGGGUGGUGCUUAUUUUCAGAACUCUGUUGGAGUUUGGGUAGCUGAUAUUUCGCUUAUUGAGCCAUAUGGUGGGGGUGCGAUACCUGAGCAUGGCCCUCCUGAGCAGAAAUAUGAAGUUCAAGAAAAUCCUUCUGAGAAAUCCAUAAGCCAUAGGAGGUCCAAUUCAAGUUUCCGCAGCAUGUCACCAGAUAUUGAUUCUAAAGACAUUAAGAAUAUCUAUGUGGAUACUGAAGCUUGUAAGCCUGUUACUUCAACAAAAGUUGGGUCUAUUAAUUCUCCAAAUUCUGUAGACCCUUGUGAACCAAAGGAGAUUACGACUUUGGCAAUUCAGAAGCAGGGCUCUGCGGUAAGGGUGCAUGCAAAGACUAAUGUGUCAGGGGAUGCCAAAUCCUUCAUUGUGCCUACAGUGAUACCUCGUGAAUAUCCUGGUGCAAAAGAUAAGACUGGUUCUAGAAGGGAAUCUUUUGCUAGCAGUAGGGCCAUUACUGGUACACUUAAGCCUUCCCAUAUCCGAAGGUCAUCAAAUACAAAGUCUGAUAUGGAGAAAAUCUCAAAUGGAUUGGAAACCAGGUCUCUUGGCAGUAUGACGACUGCAGUGGAGACUAAAACGGAACCAAACUUCAACAGCAAGCUUGUUUGCAACAAUAAUGUGAAGGAAUUCUCUGAGGGAGAAGAUCUGAGCAUCAAGAAUGUUGGAGAGAAGCUAGAAAAAGCUACAUCGCUGACAAGACUGUCAAAUCAGGAAAAUGGUGAAAAGCCCCAGGAGUGCAACAAAGGGGUUUUUCCUAUUAGAGUUGUGAAUGGAGUGGCAGUUGUGCGAGGUAGGACACGCAGUUUGGUUGAGAGAUUUGAAAAAAGAGAGGGAUUGAGUAGUAAUGAAGCUCAAACGCCUGAGAAAGCUCCUAACUUUAGUAGCAAAGAAGCUCAAAUGCCUGAGAAUGCUCCUAACUUCAGUAGCAAAGAAGCUCAAAUGCCUGACAGAUGUCCUAGUUCAAUAACUGAGGCAGCUAAAGCAUCUUUGCAGGAUUAUAAUCCACCAAAUGCUGGAAGGGAGCCAGAUACAGAUGAUAAUCAUGUCAUUGAAGCGCUGAUGCAAAAUCAUGACGUGCUAUUAAGCAUUUUUCGGUCACGCCUGACAAAGUUACAAGUGGUGCGGCAUUUUUGGGAACGCAAUGAUGUUAAAGGUGCAAUAAACGCUAUGAUGAAGUUGCCUGAUCAUUCUGUACAAGCAGAUGUAGUCAGUGUUCUAAAGGAGAAAAUGGAGAUUAUUACCUUAGAGCUCUUCUCAUGCUUACUACCUGUGCUUUUAAGCUUACUGGAUAGCAAAAUUGAUAGGCAUGCUAGUGUUUCUCUGGAGAUGCUCUUGAAACUCAUUGCCGUCUUCGGACCUUUAGUUCGUUCAACCGUUUCAGCACCUCGUGCUGUUGGGGUUGAUCUUCAUGCAGAAGAAAGACGUGAAAGCUGCAAACAGUGUUUUGUCCAUCUUCAGAAUGUUCAGAAAAUUCUUCCGUCACUGAUUCAGAGGGGUGGUGUGGUGGCAAGAUGUGCACAUGAACUAAGCCUUGUUCUUCGAGAACCGUAAUAUACUUUUCUAUGUGGUAUUAACUUCAAUGAAGAGGAAAUGUACUGCUUUUUGCUUCCCCUUGGAUAAAAUUCUUUCAGACCGCCUCUUUUCACACGAGGGAUGCAUCACAAUUUUGUCAUGCUGAUGUCUGUCUCUGGCUACCUUUUUUUGAGUCCUUUUGGUAGCUAUGCAUACAAGCUUGAUGCUCCAUGCGGUAAAGCUUGAGGAGGAUUUUGUUCAGCUGCAGCCAUUAUCCCUGGUUCAAGGUGUUAGUCCCCAAUAUAAAGUCUCGCGUGGAAGUGUGAUUCUGACCGUCCCUCCCCUCCACAUUAAAAGAAAGGACCGAAACAGCUACCUUACAAGUCCAGCUUGCUUUGACAUUUCUCUUGUAAUAUUAGGCUAAUCUGGUAUCACCCACGGACAAUUAAACAAGCCAAUGUAAUGGGCUUCAACUUUCACCUCUAAUACAGUAUGAAAGUCUCCAAGAUUCGUACUUAGUGGAACCUGCUCUUUCAAAAUUUCCGUCAAUCUCAGACCAGUAGUGCGGAAGAGGUUGUACGGGAUGGAGUUUCUUGUUUACUAUUCAUGGGAAGAAAAGCCCUUUCAUCCA